GGUUAUGAGUCAGCCUCCCCAGGGGAGGUUGCAGCAGCUGCCUUCAUGGUGAGUGAGCAGCGCCCAGGGAGGAGGCCCGGCCAGUCUCAGGAAGCCUCCCAUGGUUCCUUCGGGAUCUCUGAAUUGUCCUCACCAGGUUCAUGCUCCAGAAGGGGUCUGCACAAAGGGGGGAUCCAGGAUACCCAACUAGGGCUACCUUAGCAGAUCAACAGGCUGGCAUCCAAGUGCAGGUAGGCAGCCCCGCACAUUCUUCAUCCAGAAUCUGACCCCACCCCAACCUGCCCUUCCGAAGUUUCCCCAUUCAUCAGGGAAGCAGGACCCCUAGGGAGCUUAUGAGCCAGAGCACACUACAGCCCACCAUGGAGGAAGGCACAAGGUAGGCAGGAGGGCCUCCUGGAGGAGGCGAAGUCUGGCUGAAGACACGGAAGAGAAGGCUGACGUGCUCGGAACACAGAAGAAGUGGGAAGACGGGGAAAGCUUUAGAGGGAAACAGGCUGGGCGGUAAAAGCGCACAUGACGAGAUGUGGAUAAGAACGAAGAAGACAGAGAGAACCGUAGACAGCAACACUACCAUGAAGACCUAGGAAGCCCAGCAGGGGCGUGAUCUUUGCCAGCUGCAGAUAGUUUAAUCCUGGAAAUUCUGAGAGGGAAUGCCAGAGCCCAGAGACAGUCGGCUGCUGCUCUUCCUGUUGCUGUCCCCAUUGCUGCUGGUUUGUCCUGCUGCUGCUGCUGCUGCUGGACAUCCUGACUACAGAAGACUGGACUUGCCCCAAGGAACCCAAUGACCCUAAUCAGCAGGACAUAGCCUAUAGAGGUCUAUGCCCCUUUCCCAUCUAACCUUAUGUCUCUCCUACCUGGUGCUGGGAUGUUAGAAGAAAUAAGGGUUGAAAGAGAGGUAGAGGUCUAAGAACCUAAAUAAAAUAGAUAAGCAAAUAUGCCAACAAGUGAGGAGAAGAGAGAGCUGGCCCAGCCCUACUGGAUUUCAUAUACAGGGCUCCCCAAGGGCUAAACCUCAGAUAAUUGUCAUCGGGGAGGUGGGCCAGGCAAAGGCAGUCAUCAAAAUGCGUUUGCAUACUUGCUUAAUAAAAUAAAGCUAUAAUGUACAAAGACAGAUAAUUAAUUGCCCAUCACAUUCUCCCUCAUCUCCCUUCCCUCCUCCCCACAUUAGUCCUGUAGCCCACAUCACACUCCGCCACUUUCUUCCCGCUGAAUCAGCAGAUUUCCACCUAGUCCAGGGGAGCCCCGGCCCAAUAAAUAUGUGCUUAUUAAGUGAGCUGUGGCCAGUCAGGCCUGCCCUGCUGCAAUCUUGGCCCGUU